rnacentral:ribozyme from 1 species
GGCCGGCAAAAUCCUAUCACCACCUCCUCACGGUGCCAGCUGGAUACAACUGGAUACAAUUCGUUGGAACUAACAGUAAAGG